UGCUUGAGGCUUAAUGAUAGAGUGCUUGCCUAGUAUGCAUGAGGCCCUGAGUUCACUCCUCAGCACAGCAA
rnacentral:tRNA from 1 species